UCACCUGCUGGAGUAAACUUCGCAAACAUUUGUGCAUGGCUGAAUGUGCGCGUGCGUCUCACCAGUGAUGAAAGCAGGACAGCCAGCUCUGGACUUUUCUCCAACCACCCACAGCUUGCUGGCCUGAAAGACACGGUAAAAAAAUCCAGGCCUGUGGACAGAAAAGAGAUAAGCAUUAACUUUUGUAUCCACUUUGAAACGUUCAGGCUCAAUGUGAAGACUCACCUGCAGACAAAAGACAAUUAAAAAGCAUAUGCAUUA